rnacentral:lncRNA from 1 species
UGGUACCAAAUCUUCGUAGUUCUUUUGCUAUGCAUCCUGGUUGAUAGAGACGACCAUAUCCAAUCUGCUUCAAACAGUCCACCUCCUCUUCUGCAUCAACCAUACUGGAAAGAUCCAUCUACAGUCCUGAAAAAUAUAUGUUGGAUUAUUGCGUCGCCAGAAGUUGUAAGCUGAAUCAGACGCAGUAGUGAUACACCCGACUUUUUAGAUCGAUUCAAGCAUGGAUGAAACAUUGAAGGAACGAACGUCACAAAUAUAAGACUCGGCGAGUCAGCGGAUUAGGAAGAAUGUCCGCUGGGGAUGCCCAAUGAUGUUGAGGCUGGGAAGGGCGGCGAACUAAUGAGACCUAUAGGAGUGACGACCUGAUCUGUUUUCCAUAUGUGGGGGAAGAAGAGAGACGCGAGAUACGAUGAGAUUUUUUUAGAAGAAGACGAAGAGAGAUACGAGAGAUAUGAC